rnacentral:snRNA from 1 species
GUGCUCACUUCGGUAGCACAUAUACUAAAAUUAGAAUGAUACAGAGAAGAUUAGUGUGGCCCCUGCACAAGGAUGACAUGCAAAUUCGUGAAGUGUUCCAUAUUUUU